rnacentral:rRNA from 1 species
AGAGUUUGAUCAUGGCUCAGAGCGAACGUUGGCGGCGUGCCUAAUACAUGCAAGUCGAGGGAGAAAUCGGGGGCAACUCCGAGAGUACACCGGCGAACGGGUGAGUAAUACGUAGACAACCUGCCCUGGGGACGGGAGCAACUGCGCGAAAGCGUAGCUAAUUCCCGAUGUGCCGCGAGGGGGCAUCCCCUUGCGAUGAAAGGCCGUCGAAAGACGGUCGUCCCGGGAGGGAUCUACGGCCUAUCAGCUAGUUGGUGGGGUAACGGCUCACCAAGGCGACGACGGGUAGCCGGGCUGAGAGGUCGUCCGGCCACAGGGACACUGAGACACGGGUCCCACACCUACGGGUGGCAGCAGUAGGGAGUAUUGCGCAAUGGGCGAAAGCCUGACGCAGCGACGCCGCGUGGGGGAAUGAAGGCCUUCGGGUCGUAAACCCCUUUCGUCGGGGAAGAAGAUCUGACUCAACCCGAGGAAGAAGCGCCGGCUAACUCCGUGCCAGCAGCUGGCGGUAAUACGGAGGGCGCGAACGUUGCUCGGAAUCACUGGGCGUAAAGGGUCCGUAGGCGGCCUCGCACAUCGGCAGUGAAAUCCCAAGGCUUACCCUUGGAACGGCUGCCGAAAAGGCGGGGCUCGAGGGCAGUAGAGGAGAUCGGAAUUCCCGGUGGAGCGGUGAAAUGCGUAGAUAUCGGGAGGAACGCCGGAGGCGAAGGCGGAUCUCUGGGCUGACCCUGACGCUGAGGGACGAAAGCCGGGGGAGCAAACCGGAUUAGAUACCCGGGUAGUCCCGGCCGUAAACGAUGAGGGCUAAGUGCGUGGUACCUCUCUGGGGUCUUGCGCGCUACAGCUAACGCGGUAAGCCCUCCGCCUGGGGAGUACGGCCGCAAGGUUAAAACUCAAAGGAAUUGACGGGGGGCUCGCACAAGCGGUGGAGCAUCUGGUUCAAUUCGAUGCAACGCGAAGAACCUUACCCGGGCUUGAAGUGCUGGUGGUAGGAGCCCGAAAGGGUGACGACCUUGGGGAAACUCGAGGAGCCAGCAUCAGGUGUUGCAUGGCUGUCGUCAGCUCGUGUCUUGAGAUGUUGGGUUAAGUCCCGUAACGAGCGAAACCCCUGUGUGCAGUUGCCACCCGGUCUUCGGAUCGGAGCACUCUGCACAGACUGCCCGCGAUGAGUGGGAGGAAGGUGGGGACGACGUCAAGUCAUCAUGGCCCUUAUGUCCGGGGCAACACAGGUGCUACAAUGGCCGUUACAAAGGGCAGCGAACCCGCGAGGGGGAGCUAAUCUCAGAAAGACGGCCCCAGUUCGGAUCGGAGGCUGCAACUCGCCUCCGUGAAGCCGGAAUCGCUAGUAAUCGCGGAUCAGCCACGCCGCGGUGAAUAUGUUCCCGAGCCUUGUACACACCGCCCGUCAAGCCACCCAAGCGCAGGGCAUCUGAAGUCGCGGCGAGGAGCCGUGCCCAAGAUGAAUUGCGUGAGGAGGGCUAAGUCGUAACAAGGUA